UACGUAGGGGGCUAGCGUUGUCCGGAAUCAUUGGGCGUAAAGAGCGUGUAGGCGGCCCGGUAAGUCCGCUGUGAAAGUCGGGGGCUCAACCCUCGAAAGCCGGUGGAUACUGUCGGGCUAGAGUCCGGAAGAGGAGAGUGGAAUUCCUGGUGUAGCGGUGAAAUGCGCAGAUAUCAGGAAGAACACCCGUGGCGAAGGCGGCUCUCUGGGACGUGACUGACGCUGAGACGCGAAAGCGUGGGUAGCAAACAGG
rnacentral:rRNA from 1 species